rnacentral:rRNA from 1 species
CCUACGGGAGGCAGCAGUGGGGAAUUUUGGACAAUGGGCGAAAGCCUGAUCCAGCAAUGCCGCGUGAGUGAAGAAGGCCUUCGGGUUGUAAAGCUCUUUUGUCAGGGAAGAAACGGCAUGGGCUAAUAUCCCGUGCUAAUGACGGUACCUGAAGAAUAAGCACCGACUAACUACGUGCCAGCAGCCGCGGUAAUACGUAGGGUGCAAGCGUUAAUCGGAAUUACUGGGCGUAAAGCGUGCGCAGGCGGUUUUGUAAGUUUGUCGUGAAAUCCCCGGGCUCAACCUGGGAAUGGCGAUGAAGACUGCAAGGCUAGAAUCUGGCAGAGGGGGGUAGAAUUCCACGUGUAGCAGUGAAAUGCGUAGAGAUGUGGAGGAACACCGAUGGCGAAGGCAGCCCCCUGGGUCAAGAUUGACGCUCAUGCACGAAAGCGUGGGGAGCAAACAGGAUUAGAUACCCUGGUAGUCCACGCCCUAAACGAUGUCUACUAGUUGUCGGGUUUUAAUUAACUUGGUAACGCAGCUAACGCGUGAAGUAGACCGCCUGGGGAGUACGGUCGCAAGAUUAAAACUCAAAUGAAUUGACGG